UGUGUCGUAGACUAAGCGUGCAUGACGGAUGAGUCGUGCAGGCCGCCUUGAAGUACAAUUCCCAUCAAGCGAUGGGUAGAAUCCUUUGCAGACGGGUGACGGGAUAGAAUCCCCUAUCAACUUUCGACGGUAGGAUAGUGGCCUACUAUGGUGGUGACGGGUGACGGAGAUUUAGGGUUCGAUUUCGAAGAGGGAGCCUGAGAAACGGCUACCACAUCCUAGAAAGGCAGCAGGCGUGCAAAUUACCCAAUCCUGACACGAGGAGUUAGUGACAAUAAAUAACAAUACCAGGAUCAAACGAGUCUGGUAAUUGGAAUGAGUACAGUCUAAAUCCCUUAACAAGGAUCCAUUGGAAUAAACCAUA
rnacentral:ncRNA from 1 species